UACAUGGGGUGCAAACGUUGCUCGGAAUUAUUGGGCGUAAAGAGCUUGUAGGCGGUUUGUCGCGUCUGCUGUGAAAUUUCGGGGCUCAACCCCGAACUUGCAGUGGGUACGGGCAGGCUAGAGUGUGGUAGGGGAGACUGGAAUUCCUGGUGUAGCGGUGAAAUGCGCAGAUAUCAGGAGGAACACCGAUGGCGAAGGCAGGUCUCUGGGCCACUACUGACGCUGAGAAGCGAAAGCAUGGGGAGCGAACAGG
rnacentral:rRNA from 1 species